UACGUAGGGUGCGAGCGUUGUCCGGAAUUAUUGGGCGUAAAGAGCUCGUAGGCGGUCUGUCGCGUCUGCUGUGAAAUCCCGAGGCUCAACCUCGGGCCUGCAGUGGGUACGGGCAGACUAGAGUGCGGUAGGGGAGAUUGGAAUUCCUGGUGUAGCGGUGGAAUGCGCAGAUAUCAGGAGGAACACCGAUGGCGAAGGCAGCUCGCUGGGACGGUACUGACGCUGAGGCGCGAAAGCGUGGGGAGCAAACAGG
rnacentral:rRNA from 1 species